rnacentral:rRNA from 1 species
AACGAACGCUGGCGGCGCGUUUUAAGCAUGCAAGUCGAGCGGUAAGAGAUCUUCGGAUUUCCAAGAGCGGCGGACGGGUGAGUAACACGUGGAUAAUCUGGCCACUAGUUGGGGACAACACAUAGAAAUAUGUGCUAAUACCGAAUACGAUGCUUUACACACAGGUGUUUAGCAGGAAAGGUCCUACGGGAUUGCUGGUGGAUGAGUCCGCGGCCCAUUAGUUAGUUGGUAGGGUAAAGGCCUACCAAGACGAUGAUGGGUAGCCGGCCUGAGAGGGUGAACGGCCACAUUGGAACUGAGACACGGUCCAGACUCCUACGGGAGGCAGCAGCUAAGAAUCUUCCACAAUGGACGAAAGUCUGAUGGAGCGACGCCGCGUGAACGAUGAAGGCCGUGAGGUUGUAAAGUUCUUUUUAGAAGGGAGAAUAAGGUAAGUAGGGAAUGACUUACUGAUGACGUGAAUUCUAGAAUAAGCCCCGGCUAAUUACGUGCCAGCAGCCGCGGUAACACGUAAGGGGCAAGCGUUGUUCGGAAUUAUUGGGCGUAAAGGGCGCGCAGGCGGAUCCUCAAGUCUGGUGUAAAAAUGCAGAGCUCGACUCUGUAGGGCGCUGGAAACUAGGGAUCUAGAGUACAGUAGGGGAAAUUGGAAUUCCAGGUGUAGGGGUGAAAUCUGUAGAUAUCUGGAAGAACACCAAUGGCGAAGGCAAAUUUCUGGGCAUGUACUGACGCUGAGGCGCGAAGGUGUGGGGAGCAAACAGGUUUAGAUACCCUGGUAGUCCACACAGUAAACGAUGUACACUAGGUGGUGGGAGAAAUUUCAGUACCGAAGCAAACGCAUUAAGUGUACCGCCUGGGGAGUAUGCUCGCAAGAGUGAAACUCAAAGGAAUUGACGGGGGCCCGCACAAGCGGUGGAGCAUGUGGUUUAAUUCGAUGAUACGCGAGAAACCUUACCAGGGCUUAAAUGUAGAUUGCAUAGAGUGGAAACAUUCUUUUCCUACGGGACUAUUUACAAGGUGCUGCAUGGUUGUCGUCAGCUCGUGCCGUGAGGUGUCGGGUUAAGUCCCAUAACGAGCGCAACCCUUACCGUUAGUUGCCAUCAGGUUAAGCUGGGGACUCUAGCGGGACUGCCACCGUAAGGUGAGAGGAAGGUGGGGAUGACGUCAAAUCAGCACGGCCCUUAUGUCCAGGGCUACACACGUGCUACAAUGGGAAGUACAACGAGUCGCGAAGUCGCGAGGCUAAGCUAAUCUCUUAAAGCUUCUCUCAGUUCGGAUUGCAGGCUGCAACUCGCCUGCAUGAAGCCGGAAUCGCUAGUAAUCGCGGAUCAGCACGCCGCGGUGAAUACGUUCCCGGGCCUUGUACACACCGCCCGUCACACCACGAGAGUUUGUAACACCCGAAGUCGGUGAGGUAACCUUUUGGAGCCAGCCGCCUAAGGUGGGAUAGAUGAUUGGGGUG